rnacentral:rRNA from 1 species
GAGUUUGAUCGUGGCUCAGAUUGAACGCUGGCGGCAUGCCUUACACAUGCAAGUCGAACGGCAGCACGGGAGCUUGCUCCUGGUGGCGAGUGGCGAACGGGUGAGUAAUGCAUCGGAACGUAUCCCGGAGUGGGGGAUAACGUAGCGAAAGUUACGCUAAUACCGCAUAUUCUGUGAGCAGGAAAGCGGGGGACCUUCGGGCCUCGCGCUCUUGGAGCGGCCGAUGUCGGAUUAGCUAGUUGGUGAGGUAAAGGCUCACCAAGGCGACGAUCCGUAGCAGGUCUGAGAGGAUGAUCUGCCACACUGGAACUGAGACACGGUCCAGACUCCUACGGGAGGCAGCAGUGGGGAAUUUUGGACAAUGGGGGCAACCCUGAUCCAGCCAUGCCGCGUGAGUGAAGAAGGCCU